rnacentral:rRNA from 1 species
UACGUAGGGUGCAAGCGUUGUCCGGAGUUACUGGGCGUAAAGGGUGCGCAGGCGGCGGUUCGCGUGGCGAGAUGAAAUCUCCUGGCUUACCUGGGAGGAUGGUCGCCAGACGGGAUCGCUUGAGGGUCGGAGAGGGGCGUGGAAUUCCGGGUGGAGCGGUGAAAUGCGUAGAUAUCGGGAGGAACACCAGUGGCGAAGGCGACUACCUGGCCUGUUCUUGACGCUGAGGCGCGAAAAGCUG